GCCUUCCCCCCGGAAGCCUGGUCACGCCUGCCCGCCCAGCCCCGGUCACUGCCCGCGCUCAGGCGGGGGCGGGCUGCCGCGCACAGCGGUGGUGCAGGCCAGGCUAAAGCAGCGUGACCCACCUCCCCCGUGGGGGGUCCCCAGGGGCAGUUAUCCACCUCUUGCCUUUCAUCUCUAGGGCCCUGAGCCACGUUGUUUUAUGGACAGUCCCUGAACAGGCUGCAAAGGAGCAGGCCCUUGGGUGCUUUCAGCCUGUGGGGGUUUUUGUUACUGUGAUUAGGUUUGUUACAGAGCAGUAGGCAGCGCUAGAACUGUACAUGGAGCAUUACCAAAAUAGCCAGGCUGUGAUUAGUUAGUAUGUGACCUAGAAAUCUAGCUAAAACUACAUCAUCUUGCCUGGCUGUAUCCAGCACCGUGGUAAAGAAUCCCCUUCAUAGUCAUUUAUAAUUUGUCUAAUAUAAAUUAUACCCCCAAAAUCGUCAUUUUCUUUCCAUCCCCAAAUAGGGUAAUAAUGUGCCAGAUGUCACCCAAGUAACAGUAAGUGGCUCUGCUUGAUGCUACAUAGUUUUUGUACCAGCACAUUUAUUUUGGCUAGUUUAUGGUGUUUACUGAAAUAGUUAUACUCAGGGCAGCUCCAGGCACCAGUGAAGGAAGCAGGUGCUUGGGGCGGCCAAUGGAAAGGGGCAGCACAUCCGGGUCUUCGGCGGCGGGUCCCUCAGUCCCUCUCGGAGCGAAGGACCCACUGCCAAAUUGCUGCCGAAGAAUGAAGCGGCGCAGUUGAGCUGCCGCCAAAGUGCCUCCAAUCGCAGCUUUAUCUUUUUUUUUCCGCUUCGCUGGUUGGGGUGGCAAAAAAGCUGGAGCCGGCCCUGGUUAUACAGUAUAAUCUCUGCAGCUAGAUGUGUAAUUUCCAGCUCAAGUAGAUAUAUAUGUGCUAGCUUUAAUCAAGCUAGCAUGCUAAAAAUAGCCUGUGUGGUUCACAAUAUAGGCUAGCCACCAGAGUAUGUAGUUAGGGUACCUGGGACGGCCAGCCUGUCUCACUGCCCCCACAGCCACAUGCAUAUAUGUGCUCAGGCUGGAAAUUACAUCUCCAGCUCAAGGGUAGGCAUAUCCUCAUUCCCUGUGGUGGGAGGACUUCCAACCCGAUUUUGCUAUUCAUGGAAGCCCCAAGAGAGAGCAACUCCUAAUAGCAGCUGGGAGGGAAAUCACCCACAAAAUACAUCUGGUUUGGUUCUCAAGGAUUCAGCAGUUCUUAAAAUUAUUUGCAUAUGUUCAGAGAAUAUUUCAUCUUGCAACAUUCUGCAGGAGCCUGUGCCAAACCUGGUCAAAUAUAAGGAGAUCUUAUGGGUUAAGCAUUAGCAUAACACUCAGAAAAUCUAUGUUCAGUUCUGCCUCAGAAUUCUUUUAUGACCAUGGGAAAGACAUUAAACUUCUUAUCCUACCAUAUAUGUAUACACUGCAAUGAGGAGCCUACUAGAUCAAAGCUACCUCAGCUGAAGUCCAAGAUAUUUUUUUGACUGCAAAACAGAGCAGUAUGUGGUAGGAUGCAGUGGACCUGUAGCAUCUUUGAAGAAAAAAAGUGCAAACUAUAUUCUGCUAUGUACACUGUACUUGCUGAGUGGAGGUCCUUUCCAAGGUGUUGUGUAAAAUCUGCUGCAGAGUUUCCAGACCGCUGCCUUGGUGUUGCAUGAAAACUAGAUGUCGUGCUAUUGAAUUUAGGUCCAUCUUGUCCCAGAGAACACCACGUUUGUUAAUAGCCUAUAGCACAUGUAUAGCACUUUUCCUAUUCAAAACACUUCAUGAACAUUAACUAUUGUAAACAAUAAGGCCAUCUAUAAGGUACUUUACUGAUCAAUUAUUCUGUAUUCCUCUAAUUAUUCUUAUAGUUAAAUAACACUGAAGAUAAUAUGUUAAUUGCAUGUACAGUAUGUAAGCAGACAGUGCAAUUCCUUACAGUAUGUUUGGGGAUUGGGCUUAAAUUUGGAGAUGGAAUAUGUAUUGUUUGUACAGUUGUGUGAUAAAUUACUGGCAAAUAGAAGCACAGAUGGCUUUGCCCUAAGAUCAGGCAUCACAUGCCAGAAAUUAUCUGGGAAAUUGUCAUUUUAAAAAUAACUCUAGAACAAGUGCCAAGUUUUGAAGGAUCCAUGUGUCUAAUAAACAGAUAUAAACAUCAGCAGUGUCCAAAGCUUAAGUAUAUUUGGAUUAUAUUAUGGAUAUGGAAAACAUGCACAAUUAUCACCUAUCUGCUAGUAAAAAUUAAAUCUCUUCAUGUAUCUUUUGUGCUUUUAAUCAGGAACUGGAAUUCUUUAAUUGCUAUGGAAUGAAUGGACCAAAUAGUCACUCUAAAUUAAGUUCUAGUACCUAAGGAAGUUCAAGCAAUUAUAAAGUCAGGAGAAUUUUUGUAUUAGUUGUUUAAAGUUAUUACACUUUAUUCACAGCUCUUAUUGUCUUCCAUCAGAUUUGUGAGUACUCAGCGCUACUGAAA